GAAAAUGCUUACGGUGGAUACCUAGGCUCCUAGAGACGAGAAAAGGUGUAGUAAUCGAUGAAAUGCUUUGGGGAGUUGAAAAUAAGCAUAGAUUCGGAGAUUCUCGAAUAGGGAAACCUUUCAAACUGCUGCUAAAUCCAUGGGCAGGCAAAAGACAACCUGGCGAACUGAAACAUCUUAGUAGCCAAAGGAAAAGAAAGCAAAAUUGAUUCCCGUAGUAGUGGCGAGCAAAAUGGGAGCAGCCUAAAUCAUGAAAAUGGGUUGUGGGAGAGAAAUUCAAGUAUCGUGCUGCUAGGCGAAGCAACCUGAAUGCUGAACCCUAGAUGGUGAAAGUCCAGUAGCCGAAAGCAUCACCCGAGUAGCAUGGGGCACAUUAAAUCCCGUGUGAAUCAGCAAGGACCACCUUGCAAGGCUAAAUACUCCUGGGUGACCAAUAACGAAGUAGUACCGUGAGGGAAGGGUGAAAAAAACCCCAUCGGGGAGUAAAAUAGAACAUAAAACUGUAAGCUCCCAAAAAGUGGGAGGAGCCAGGGCUCUGACCGCGUACCUAUUGAAGAAUGAGCCAGCGACUCAUAGGUAGUGGCUUGGUUAAGGGAACCCACCAAAGCCGUAGUGAAAGUGAGUUUUCAUAGGGCAAUUGUCACUGCUUAUGGACCCGAACCUGGGUGAUCUAUCCAUGACCAGGAUGAAGCUUGGGUGAAACUAAGUAGAGGUCUGAACCGACUGUUGUUGAAGAAUCAGCGGAUAAGUUAUGGUUAGGGGUGAAAUGCCACUCAAACCUAGAGCUAGCUGGUUCUUCCCAAAAUGCGUUGAGGCGCAGCAGUUGACUGGACAUCUAGGGGUAAAGCAUUGUUUUGGUGCGGGCCGCGAGAGCGGUACCAAAUUAAGGCAAACUAUGAAUACUAAGUAUGACUUUAAAAAAGAGGGGUCAAAGUCGGCUAGUGAGACGAUGGGGUAUAAGCUUCAUCGUUGAGAGAGAAAUAACCCGGAUCACCAGCUAAAGCCCCUAAAUGACCGCUCAGUAAUAAAGGAGGUAGGGGUACGGAGACAACUAGGAGGUUUACCUAGUAGCGGCCACCCUUGAAAGAGUAGGUAAUAGCUCACUGAUCGAGCGCUCUUGCACCGAAGAUGAAAGGGGCUAAGCGAUCUGUCGAAGCUGUGGGGUGUCAAAAUACAUCGGUAGAAAAGUGUUCCACCUUAGAGGGAAGCCUCCACAUGAGCGGUGAUGGACGAAGCAAAAGCGAGAAUGUCGGCUUGAGUAACACAAACAUUGGUGAGAAUCCAACGCCCUGAAAACCUAAGGGUUCCUCUAUAAGGUUCUUCCAUGAAAGGUAAGUCAGGGCCUAAGAUCAGGCCAAAAGGAGUAAUUGAUGGACAGCAGGUGAAUAUUCCUGUACUACCCUUUAUUGGUCCUGAGGGACGGAGGAGGCUAGGUUAGCUGAAAGAUGGUUAUCGGUUCAAGAAUGUAAGGUCUCCCUACCCUUUUUUCAGGGUAAGAAGGGGUAGAGAAAAUGCCUCGUGCCAAUGUUUGAAUACCAGGCACUACGACGCUGAAGUAACCCAUGCCAUACUCCUAGGAAAAGUUUAAAUGACUUUGAGCAAGAAGGUACCUGUACCCAAAACCGACACAGGUGGGUAGGUAGAGAAUACCUAGGGGAAUGAGACAACUCUCUCUAAGGAACUCAGCAAAAUAGCCCCGUAACUUUAGGAGAAGGGGUGCCUCUUCACAUCACAAAGGGGGUCGCAGUGACCAAGCCCGAACGACUGUUUACCAAAAACACAUGUCUCCUCAAAGUCGUAAGACCAUGUAUGGGGGUUGACACAUGCCUAGUACCGGAAGGUCAAAAAAGUUGGUGACCUGAUGACAGGGAAGCCGGCGACCAAAGCCCCGAUGAACGGCGACCAUAACUAAAAUGGUCCUAACAUAGCAAAAUUUCUUGGCGGGUAAGUUUCGACCCGUACGAAAGACGUAAUGAUAUGGGCAAUGUAUUGGAGAGAGGCUUGGUGAAAUAGACAUAUCUGUGAAGAUACAGACUACCUGCACCUGGACAGAAAGACCCUAUGAAGCUUCACUGUUCCCUGGGAUUGGCUUUGGGCCUUUCCUGCACAGCUUAGGUAGAAGGCGAAGAAGGCCUCCUUCCGGGGGGCCCGAGACAUCAGUGAGAUACCACUCUGGAAGGGCUAGAAUUUUAACCUUGAGUCAGGAUCUAAGGGCCAAGGGACAGUCUUAGGUAGACAGUUUCUAUGGGGCGUAGGCCUCCCAAAAGGUAACGGGGCCAUGCAAAGGUUUACUCGGGCCGGACGGAGAUUGGACCUCAGUGCAAAGGCAUAAGGGAGCUUGACUGCAAGACCCACCCAUUAAGUAGGGAUGAAAGUCGGCCUUAGUGAUCCAACGGUGCCGAGUGGAAGGGUUUUCGCUCAACGGAUAAAAGUUACUCUAGGGAUAACAAGCUGAUCUUUCCCAAGAGCUCACAUCGACGGGAAGGUUUGGCACCUCGAUGUUGGUUCUUUGCCACCUGGGGCUGUAGUAUGUUCCAAGAGUUGGGUUGUUCACCCAUUAAAGUGGUACGUGAUCUAGGUUCAGAACGUCGUGAGAUAGUUCGAUCCAUAUUCGAUAUGGGUGUUAGAUCAUUGAGAGGACCGGGAAGGACGCACCUCUGGUGUACCAGUUAUCAUGCACACGGUAAAUGCUAAGUAGCCAAGUACAGAGCGAAUAACUACUGAAAGCAUCUAAGUAGUAAGCCCACCCCAAGAUGAGUGCUCUCUUAUUUCGACUUCUCCAGAUCUUCCGGUAGCACAGCUGAGACAGUGAUGGGUUCUCUGCCCCUGCGGGGAUGAAAUGACAGAAUUUUUUUGAGAAUUCAAGAGAAGGUCACGGCGAGACUAGUUGUUUAUCAUUACUAUAGGUGUCAAGUGGAAAUGCAGUGAUGUAUGCAGCUGAGGCAUCCUAACAGACCGGUAGACUUGAAC
rnacentral:rRNA from 1 species